CGCUGUGAAAGGUCUUUCCAACAGUAAUGGAGCUGAAUUUAAAUCUAAUAGUCAGUGAGAGUCACAGUAGCGCCAUCUCUUGGUGUGCUUCUGAAGUUGCUGUGGCAUCUCUGCAUUCAAGAUGAUGACUGCCUUGGAACAAAAUAUGAAACAAUUUUGGAUAUCUUUGCUGUUUUAUUAUUUUCUUGGGGAGAAGCCAUUAAUAGCCUAUGGGAACCAGUUUCUGCCUCAGAGUUAAAAAAUUAAGGU